CUACGGGUGGCAGCAGUGGGGAAUAUUGCACAAUGGGGGAAACCCUGAUGCAGCCAUGCCGCGUGUGUGAAGAAGGCUUUCGGGUUGUAAAGCACUUUCAGUGGGGAGGAAAGGGUGCAGAUUAAUACUCUGUAUCUGUGACGUUACCCACAGAAGAAGCACCGGCUAACUCCGUGCCAGCAGCCGCGGUAAUACGGAGGGUGCGAGCGUUAAUCGGAAUUACUGGGCGUAAAGCGCGCGUAGGUGGUUAAUUAAGUCAGAUGUGAAAGCCCAGGGCUCAACCCUGGAACAGCAUUUGAAACUGGUUAACUAGAGUUUUGUAGAGGGUGGUAGAAUUUCAGGUGUAGCGGUGAAAUGCGUAGAGAUCUGAAGGAAUACCAGUGGCGAAGGCGGCCACCUGGACAGAGACUGACACUGAGGCGCGAAGGCGUGGGGAGCAAACGGGAUUAGAUACCCCUGUAGUC
rnacentral:rRNA from 1 species